rnacentral:rRNA from 1 species
UACGUAGGGGGCAAGCGUUGUCCGGAUUUAUUGGGCGUAAAGAGCGUGUAGGCGGUUAGAUAGGUCUGCUGUGAAAACUCCAGGCUCAACCUGGAGACGUCGGUGGAAACCAUCUAACUAGAGUCCGGAAGAGGAGAGUGGAAUUCCUGGUGUAGCGGUGAAAUGCGCAGAUAUCAGGAAGAACACCCGUUGCGAAGGCGGCUCUCUGGGACGGUACUGACGCUGAGACGCGAAAGCGUGGGGAGCAAACAGG